CAACCCGAUGCAAACUGCGAAUACCGGAGAAUGUUAUCACGGGAGACACACGGCGGGUGCUAACGUCCGUCGUGAAGAGGGAAACAACCCAGACCACCAGCUAAGGUCCCAAAGUCAUGGUUAAGUGGGAAACGAUGUGGGAAGGCCCAGACAGCCAGGAUGUUGGCUUAGAAGCAGCCAUCAUUUAAAGAAAGCGUAAUAGCUCACUGGUCGAGUCGGCCUGCGCGGAAGAUGUAACGGGGCUAAACCAUGCACCGAAGCUGCGGCAGCGACGCUUAUGCGUUGUUGGGUAGGGGAGCGUUCUGUAAGCCUGUGAAGGUGGCCUGUGAGGGUUGCUGGAGGUAUCAGAAGUGCGAAUGCUGACAUAAGUAACGAUAAAGCGGGUGAAAAGCCCGCUCGCCGGAAGACCAAGGGUUCCUGUCCAACGUUAAUCGGGGCAGGGUGAGUCGACCCCUAAGGCGAGGCCGAAAGGCGUAGUCGAUGGGAAACAGGUUAAUAUUCCUGUACUUGGUGUUACUGCGAAGGGGGGACGGAGAAGGCUAUGUUGGCCGGGCGACGGUUGUCCCGGUUUAAGCGUGUAGGCUGGUUUUCCAGGCAAAUCCGGAAAACCAAGGCUGAGGCGUGAUGACGAGGCACUACGGUGCUGAAGCGACAAAUGCCCUGCUUCCAGGAAAAGCCUCUAAGCAUCAGGUAACAUCAAAUCGUACCCCAAACCGACACAGGUGGUCAGGUAGAGAAUACCAAGGCGCUUGAGAGAACUCGGGUGAAGGAACUAGGCAAAAUGGUGCCGUAACUUCGGGAGAAGGCACGCUGAUAUGUAGGUGAAGCGACUUGCUCGUGGAGCUGAAAUCAGUCGAAGAUACCAGCUGGCUGCAACUGUUUAUUAAAAACACAGCACUGUGCAAACACGAAAGUGGACGUAUACGGUGUGACGCCUGCCCGGUGCCGGAAGGUUAAUUGAUGGGGUUAGCGGCAACGCGAAGCUCUUGAUCGAAGCCCCGGUAAACGGCGGCCGUAACUAUAACGGUCCUAAGGUAGCGAAAUUCCUUGUCGGGUAAGUUCCGACCUGCACGAAUGGCGUAAUGAUGGCCAGGCUGUCUCCACCCGAGACUCAGUGAAAUUGAACUCGCUGUGAAGAUGCAGUGUACCCGCGGCAAGACGGAAAGACCCCGUGAACCUUUACUAUAGCUUGACACUGAACAUUGAGCCUUGAUGUGUAGGAUAGGUGGGAGGCUUUGAAGUGUGGACGCCAGUCUGCAUGGAGCCGACCUUGAAAUACCACCCUUUAAUGUUUGAUGUUCUAACGUUGGCCCGUAAUCCGGGUUGCGGACAGUGUCUGGUGGGUAGUUUGACUGGGGCGGUCUCCUCCUAAAGAGUAACGGAGGAGCACGAAGGUUGGCUAAUCCUGGUCGGACAUCAGGAGGUUAGUGCAAUGGCAUAAGCCAGCUUGACUGCGAGCGUGACGGCGCGAGCAGGUGCGAAAGCAGGUCAUAGUGAUCCGGUGGUUCUGAAUGGAAGGGCCAUCGCUCAACGGAUAAAAGGUACUCCGGGGAUAACAGGCUGAUACCGCCCAAGAGUUCAUAUCGACGGCGGUGUUUGGCACCUCGAUGUCGGCUCAUCACAUCCUGGGGCUGAAGUAGGUCCCAAGGGUAUGGCUGUUCGCCAUUUAAAGUGGUACGCGAGCUGGGUUUAGAACGUCGUGAGACAGUUCGGUCCCUAUCUGCCGUGGGCGCUGGAGAACUGAGGGGGGCUGCUCCUAGUACGAGAGGACCGGAGUGGACGCAUCACUGGUGUUCGGGUUGUCAUGCCAAUGGCACUGCCCGGUAGCUAAAUGCGGAAGAGAUAAGUGCUGAAAGCAUCUAAGCACGAAACUUGCCCCGAGAUGAGUUCUCCCUGACUCCUUGAGAGUCCUGAAGGAACGUUGAAGACGACGACGUUGAUAGGCCGGGUGUGUAAGCGCAGCGAUGCGUUGAGCUAACCGGUACUAAUGAACCGUGAGGCUUAACCUU
rnacentral:rRNA from 1 species